AUUGAACGCUGGCGGCAGGCCUAACACAUGCCAGUCGAGCGGGUGAAGGGAGCUUGCUCCUGGAUUCAGCGGCGGCGGGGGGAGUAAUGCCUAGGAAUCUGCCUGGUAGUGGGGGAUAACGUCCGGAAACGGGCGCUAAUACCGCAUACGUUCUGAGGUAGAAAGAGGGGGAUCUUCAGACCUCACGCCAUCAGAUGAACCGAGGCUGGAUUGGCGAGUUGGUGGGGUAAAGGCCUACCAAGGCGACGCUCCGUAACUGGUCUGAGAGGAUGAUCCGUCACACUGGAACUGAGACACGGUCCAGACUCCUACGGGAGGCAGCAGUGGGGAAUAUUGGACAAUGGGCGAAAGCCUGAUCCAGCAAUGCCGCGUGAGUGAAGAAGGUCUUCGGAUGUUAAAGCCCGUUGAGUGGGGAGGAAGGUCAGUAAAUUAAUACCUUGCUGUAUUGACGGUACCAACAGAGUAAGCACCGGCUAACUUCGUG
rnacentral:rRNA from 1 species